rnacentral:rRNA from 1 species
AUUGAACGCUGGCGGCAGGCUUAACACAUGCAAGUCGAGCGGAAACGAUGGUAGCUUGCUACCAGGCGUCGAGCGGCGGACGGGUGAGUAAUACUUAGGAAUCUACCUAGUAGUGGGGGAUAGCUCGGGGAAACUCGAAUUAAUACCGCAUACGACCUACGGGAGAAAGGGGGCAACUUGUUGCUCUCGCUAUUAGAUGAGCCUAAGUCGGAUUAGCUAGAUGGUGGGGUAAAGGCCUACCAUGGCGACGAUCUGUAGCUGGUCUGAGAGGAUGAUCAGCCACACCGGGACUGAGACACGGCCCGGACUCCUACGGGAGGCAGCAGUGGGGAAUAUUGGACAAUGGGGGCAACCCUGAUCCAGCCAUGCCGCGUGUGUGAAGAAGGCCUUUUGGUUGUAAAGCACUUUAAGCAGUGAAGAAGACUCCGUGGUUAAUACCCACGGACGAUGACAUUAGCUGCAGAAUAAGCACCGGCUAACUCUGUGCCAGCAGCCGCGGUAAUACAGAGGGUGCAAGCGUUAAUCGGAAUUACUGGGCGUAAAGCGAGCGUAGGUGGCUUGAUAAGUCAGAUGUGAAAUCCCCGGGCUUAACCUGGGAACUGCAUCUGAUACUGUUAGGCUAGAAUAGGUGAGAGGAAGGUAGAAUUCCAGGUGUAGCGGUGAAAUGCGUAGAGAUCUGGAGGAAUACCGAUGGCGAAGGCAGCCUUCUGGCAUCAUAUUGACACUGAGGUUCGAAAGCGUGGGUAGUAAACAGG